UACAGAGGUCUCAAGCGUUGUUCGGAUUCAUUGGGCGUAAAGGGUGCGUAGGUGGCGCGCUAAGUCGGGUGUGAAAUUUCGGAGCUUAACUCCGAAACUGCAUUCGAUACUGGCGUGCUCGAGGACUGGAGAGGAGACUGGAAUUCAUGGUGUAGCAGUGAAAUGCGCAGAUAUCAGGAGGAACACCGGUGGCGAAGGCGGGUCUCUGGGCCGAUACUGACGCUGAGGAGCGAAAGCGUGGGGGAGCGAACAGG
rnacentral:rRNA from 1 species